UACGAAGGGGGCUAGCGUUGCUCGGAAUCACUGGGCGUAAAGGGUGCGUAGGCGGGUUUUUAAGUCAGGGGUGAAAUCCUGGAGCUCAACUCCAGAACUGCCUUUGAUACUGAAGAUCUUGAGUCCGGGAGAGGUUAGUGGAACUGCGAGUGUAGAGGUGAAAUUCGUAGAUAUUCGCAAGAACACCAGUGGCGAAGGCGGCUGACUGGUCCGGUUCUGACGCUGAGGCGCGAAAGCGUGGGGAGCAAACAGG
rnacentral:rRNA from 1 species